UACGUAGGGGGCCAGCGUUGCUCGGAAUUACUGGGCGUAAAGGGUCCGUAGGCGGUGUAGCAAGUCGAUAGUGAAAUCUCUGGGCUUAACCCAGAGGCUGCUAACGAAACUGCUGUGCUAGAGUGUGAGAGAGGCGAGUGGAAUUACGGGUGUAGCGGUGAAAUGCGUAGAUAUCCGUAGGAACAUCCGAGGCGAAGGCGGCUCGCUGGAUCACAACUGACGCUGAGGCACGAAAGCUAGGGGAGCAAACAG
rnacentral:rRNA from 1 species